rnacentral:rRNA from 1 species
UGCCAGCAUCCGCUGUACUACGGAUGGGGUUAUCGUUGUUCGGAAUUACUGGGCGUAAGGCGUACGUGGGCGGAUUAACAAGUUAGAGGUGAAAUCCCAGGGCUCAACCCUGGAACUGCCUUUAAAACUGUUAGUCUUGAGAUCGAGAGAGGUGAGUGGAAUUCCAAGUGUAGAGGUGAAAUUCGUAGAUAUUUGGAGGAACACCAGUGGCGAAGGCGGCUCACUGGCUCGAUACUGACGCUGAGGUACGAAAGUGUGGGGAGCAAACAGGAUUAGAUA